rnacentral:lncRNA from 1 species
CGCCUCAUAGGAAGCUGGCUGCCGUUGACCGUACCUCUAUUUGCAGUGUAACGUGUGCCAUGCACAGCCCAUCCGGCUCAGAGCCACUUAGCUUUGCUUCACUGUUUCACUGUCUGAACAAGGCCGCUCAUGAGAAACCCCAUAAUACAAUUGAGGCACCUCGGGGGCACCAUAUACAUUUAUUAAAGAAAAAUGUCAAGAAGAAAGCAUUUAACUUAGAGCUUGGAAAAUGGUCAAUAGUAGGUUUCCAAAGCCCUGGAGAGAGUACCUUAUGAUCUAAGAGCCCUGCUCAAAGGACAGAAAAAAAAAGGGCAGAGACAUGAUCAGACAUCUGUUUACCAAUGUUCCCGGCAGCAUUAUUCACAAUAGACAAAAGGUGAGGACAACCCAAGUGUCUCAGUGGGUCGAUGAAUAUGUUAGAUGUGGUUCCUGUUCACAACAGAAUAUUAUUCUGCCUUUAAAAGAGAGAAGAUUCUCUCUCUCUCUUUUUUUUUUUUUUUUUG